GGUGAAGGCCACAGGGGUCGUGCGCUGGCUUCAGGUGCCAGUGUCCUUCGGGACGUGGGGGUUCAAGUCCCCCUUCGCCCA
rnacentral:tRNA from 1 species